rnacentral:rRNA from 1 species
AGUGAACGCUGGCGGCGUGCUUAACACAUGCAAGUCGAACGAGAACGGAAUAUAGCUUGCUAUAUUUGUCAGCUAAGUGGCGCACGGGUGAGUAAUGUAUAGAUAACCUGCCCUUAAGAAAGGAAUAACAGUUGGCAACGACUGCUAAUGCCCUAUAUGCCUUUAAUACAUAAGUAUGCAAGGGAAACGCUUUAGUGCUUAAGGAUGCGUCUGUAUGGUAUCAGCUUGUUGGUGAGGUAAUGGCUCACCAAGGCUAUGACGCCUAACUGGUUUGAGAGGAUGAUCAGUCACACUGGAACUGAGACACGGUCCAGACUCCUACGGGAGGCAGCAGUGGGGAAUAUUGCACAAUGGACGAAAGCCUGAUGCAGCAACGCCGCGUGGAGGAUGACACAUUUCGGUGCGUAAACUCCUUUUAUAUAGGAAGAUAAUGACGGUACUAUAUGAAUAAGCACCGGCUAACUCCGUGCCAGCAGCCGCCGUAA